GACAGAGGGUGCAAACGUUGUUCGGAAUUACUGGGCGUAAAGCGUGUGUAGGCGGCCGCGACAGUCGGAUGUGAAAGCCCUGGGCUCAACUCAGGAAGUGCACCCGAUACUACGUGGCUCGAGUACCGGAGAGGUUGGUGGAAUUCUCGGUGUAGAGGUGAAAUUCGUAGAUAGUCGAGAGGAACACCUGUGGCGAAGGCGGCCAACUGGACGAGUACUGACGCUGAGACACGAAAGCGUGGGGAGCAAACAGG
rnacentral:rRNA from 1 species